GGGCACUUAGUUCAAAGGUGGAACAUCUGGUUGUCAACCAGAAGGGUGAGGGUUCAAGUCCCUUAGUGCCCG
rnacentral:tRNA from 1 species